UUUAAUGGAGAGUUUGAUCCUGGCUCAGGACGAACGCUGGCGGCGUGCCUAAUACAUGCAAGUCGAGC
rnacentral:rRNA from 2 species